rnacentral:rRNA from 1 species
GUGGGGAAUAUUGGACAAUGGGGGGAACCCUGAUCCAGCCAUGCCGCGUGUGUGAAGAAGGCCUUUUGGUUGUAAAGCACUUUAAGCGAGGAGGAGGCUACCGAGAUUAAUACUCUUGGAUAGUGGACGUUACUCGCAGAAUAAGCACCGGCUAACUCUGUGCCAGCAGCCGCGGUAAUACAGAGGGUGCAAGCGUUAAUCGGAAUUACUGGGCGUAAAGCGCGCGUAGGUGGCCAAUUAAGUCAAAUGUGAAAUCCACGAGCUUAACUUGGGAAUUGCAUUCGAUACUGGUUGGCUAGAGUAUGGGAGAGGAUGGUAGAAUUCCAGGUGUAGCGGUGAAAUGCGUAGAGAUCUGGAGGAAUACCGAUGGCGAAGGCAGCCAUCUGGCCUAAUACUGACACUGAGGUGCGAAAGCAUGGGGAGCAAACAGGAUUAGAAACCCGGGUAGUCC